rnacentral:rRNA from 1 species
AUUGAACGCUGGCGGCAGGCCUAACACAUGCAAGUCGAACGCGUGGCGGACGGGUGAGUAAUGUCUGGGAAACUGCCUUAUGGCGGGGGAUAACUAAUGGAAACGGUAGCUAAUCCCGCAUACCAUCGACUUUGCCCAGAUGGGAUUAGAUAGUUGGUGGGGUAACGGCUAACCAAGGCGACGAUCCCUAGCUGGUCUGAGAGGAUGACCAGCCACACGGGAACUGAGACACGGUCCAGACUCCUACGGGAGGCAGCAGUGGGGAAUAUUGCACAAUGGGCGCAAGCCUGAUGCAGCCAUGCCGCGUGUAGGAAGAAGGCCUUCGGGUUGUAAAGUACUUUCAGCUGGGAGGCGUUACCCGCAGAAGAAGCACCGGCUAACUCCGUGCCAGCAGCCGCGGUAAUUC